rnacentral:rRNA from 1 species
CUAAUACCGCAUGAGACUACAGAGCUGCAUGGCUCAGUGGUCAAAGGAGCAAUCCGCUGAAAGAUGGACUCGCGUCCGAUUAGAUAGUAGGCGGGGUAACGGCCCACCUAGUCGACGAUCGGUAGCCGGACUGAGAGGUUGAACGGCCACAUUGGGACUGAGACACGGCCCAGACUCCUACGGGAGGCAGCAUG